AUGGAACCAAUUAUACUGGAAGAAUUAAAGGGUGGCGUAUUUUGGGAUUUCUUCAAACUAUGUGUGUUUGGGUCUGGUAGUUUUGAUGAUUAUCCAGAGUUAGAGCCCAUUGGUAAAGACAUACUCCCCAAGUUGAAGGGCUCACCUUUAGCCGCCAAAACUCUUGGACGCAUGUUACAGAGUGACCUUCAUACAUCACACUGGAAGAGAAUACUAGACAGUGAAUUGUGGGCGUUGGACCAAGAGGCAACUGAUAUUGUGCCAGCUCUUCGGUUGAGCUACAUGUAUUUACCGUUCCACCUGAAGAGAUGCUUCUCAUUCUGUGCUGUGUACCCCAAAGACAAAGAGUUUGAAAAGGACAGCUUAGCUGAAAUUUGGGCGGCAGAAGGCUUUGUCAAACGCCAGGAUGUUAUUCCAGUUCAAGAUACUGGAUGUCAAUACUUCAAUGAACUUUUCAAUCGGUCAUUCUUUCAAAAGGUUCAAGGUAAAUACGUAAUCCAUGACUUGUUGCAUGAUAUGGCACAAAAAGUUUCAGAGGAUGAUUGUUUCAUUGUGAAGAAGAAGGGUGACUUUAUAAGAAUUCCUCCAAAUGUCCGCCAUCUGUCUGUACUAUCUAGCAAUGACAUCGACAAUUCUGACUUGUCGAUCCUCUGCCGGUACAAAAAGCUUCGUACCCUUCUUUGCGACAAGCCUUUAGGAAAUAAAAAAACUCCAGCUGCUUUUUUGGAAGAUUGGUGCACUGAACUUCUGCGUAUGCGUGUCAUUGUUUUUGCAACUUUGAAUGAGUUACCAGCUAGCAUUGGCAAAUUGAAGCAUCUUCAGUACCUUAAGAUAUCCAGAGCUUGUUCGGUGACAAGUCUUCCUGGAACGAUCUGUAUGCUCCAUAAUUUACAGGUUUUAUGUGUCAAGAAAUGCAAGCUUGAAAUCUUGCCAAGUGACUUUGGUAUGUUGGUCAACCUAUGGAGAUUGGAAUCGCAGGAAUUCAAAUAUGGCCCGAAUAUAGGAAGACCCAUAGAAAAUUAUGGAGUAAAUCUUCGGUAUGAUAACCAGUUUCAGCUCAUAAAGAACAUGAAGCAACUUCGUGGACAUUUGGUGAUAAGUAAUAUUCACUGGCUAACCAUGAACAUGAAUCAUUCAGCAGAAGCAGAACUACAGAAUAAGGGAUAUCUUGACAAGCUGACGCUGGACUGGGGUUUCCCGGUGAGUCAAUCCACGGAUAAUGAAAACGGGAUAGAAAUCCUUCGACAUCUACAGCCUCCUGCUGGAGUCAAGUCUCUAGUCCUUCGAGGUUACCCAGGUGUUUCUCUUCCUAGCUGGUUUCAGCCACAAUGCCUGCCAGGUUUAACAUCUGCGUCAUUUUCUUCGUGUCGUGGACUCGAGAUACCUACAGUGCCAAUCGACAUCAACAGUAGCAGCAUGGGUUUCUCGUCCCUGACAGAGCUAAUAAUUAAUGGGUGCGACCGUUUAUCAAGUCUCGAACAGCUUCUAGAUCCGACUUAUCUACCAGUCAUCAAAAAAAUUGCAAUAAUGCACUGCGAGGACAUAAUAUCAGUACCCACCGAAAGAUUUGGGGAAUUUUGUUUCCUUGAAAUAUUCAGGAUGAAGGAAUGUACAAAAAUAAACUCCCAAAGUUUGGUUGCGCCCUCCCUCGAGAAGCUCAUUCUAGGCGACAAGGAUAUAUGGUGGCGUAAUAAUGAUUGCGGGGAACUCACUGACAAUAUCCAAUGCUGCUCUCUCACCUAUUUUUCCUUGUCAAGGCUCGGCCUGACAUCCAUCCAACUACAAAUGUGGAAUCUGCCGGCUCUACGGGAAUUGCACAUUUCGAAUUGUACAUAUCUUGCAUCUAUUGGAAAACCUGGACAUGUCUUCGCCAACCUUACUCUCCUAACCAUCAGCGACUGCAAUGAACUGUCAACCACUGAUGGUCUCCUAGAAGAAGAAUAUCUACCUGCCAUUGAGAGUAUUACAAUUAAAAAUUGUCAGACGUUAUCUCGCAUGACCAUGCAUGGUAGAAGGUUCGGGCUUUUUUCUUCUCUGAAGGAUUUGGAAGUUUCUCGGUGCCCUACAAUCAACUGGGGGGGAUUCGUGUUACCAUCGUCCCUCCAAAGUCUCCACCUGGAACAAUGCGGGAAUAUCUCUUCAUUUUUUCCUAGCGGCCUAGAAAACCUUCAAUCCCUUGUUUCACUCAAUAUAUCGGUGUGCUCUCGUGUAAGAUCCAUUCCAGGCCACCUUUGGAGGAGUACCCUCUCAUCACUCCAGAAAUUACAGAUUCUGAAGUGUCAAGACCUUGUCUCCAUUGGCGAAGCAGAUGACAUUGCAGAAUUACAAAAUGUGUUCAUUGAUAAGUGUAAAAAAUUGAAGGGAAUAGACCAGCCUAUGAAAACAGGCAGCUUCUUGAUAUCCAAGAAGCAAAAGCAGCCUGUGAAAACAAGCUCAAAUUCUGUCUGGUGCCCGUGA
rnacentral:rRNA from 1 species